UACGAAGGGUGCUAGCGUUGUUCGGAAUUACUGGGCGUAAAGCGCGCGUAGGCGGCUUCUCAAGUCAGGGGUGAAAUCCUGGGGCUUAACCCCAGAAUUGCCUUUGAAACUGUGAAGCUAGAGUGUGGCAGAGGGGGGUAGAAUUCCACGUGUAGCAGUGAAAUGCGUAGAGAUGUGGAGGAAUACCGAUGGCGAAGGCAGCCCCCUGGGCCAACACUGACGCUCAUGCACGAAAGCGUGGGGAGCAAACAGG
rnacentral:rRNA from 1 species